AUUGAACGCUGGCGGCAUGCCUUACACAUGCAAGUCGAACGGUAACGGGCCUUCGGGUGCCGACGAGUGGCGAACGGGUGAGUAAUACAUCGGAACGUGCCCGAUCGUGGGGGAUAACGAGGCGAAAGCUUUGCUAAUACCGCAUACGAUCUACGGAUGACAGCAGGGGACCGCAAGGCCUUGCGCGGACGGAGCGGCCGGUGGCAGAUUAGGUAGUUGGUGGGAUAAAAGCUUACCAAGCCGACGAUCUGUAGCUGGUCUGAGAGGAUGAUCAGCCACACUGGGACUGAGACACGGCCCAGACUCCUACGGGAGGCAGCAGCGGGGAAUUUUGGACAAUGGGCGCAAGCCUGAUCCAGCCAUGCCGCGUGCAGGAUGAAGGCCUUCGGGUUGUAAACUGCUUUUGUACGGAACGAAAAGCCUUCUUCUAAUACAGGAGGGUCAUGACGGUACCGUAAGAAUAAGCACCGGCUAACUACGUGCCAGCCGCCGCAGUAA
rnacentral:rRNA from 1 species